rnacentral:rRNA from 1 species
GACGAACGCUGGCGGCGUGCCUAAUACAUGCAAGUAGAACGCUGAAGGAGGAGCUUGCUUCUCUGGAUGAGUUGCGAACGGGUGAGUAACGCGUAGGUAACCUGCCUGGUAGCGGGGGAUAACUAUUGGAAACGAUAGCUAAUACCGCAUAAGAGUAGAUGUUGCAUGACAUUUGCUUAAAAGGUGCAAUUGCAUCACUACCAGAUGGACCUGCGUUGUAUUAGCUAGUUGGUGGGGUAACGGCUUACCAAGGCGACGAUACAUAGCCGACCUGAGAGGGUGGUCGGCCACACUGGGACUGAGACACGGCCCAGACUCCUACGGGAGGCAGCAGUAGGGAAUCUUCGGCAAUGGACGGAAGUCUGACCGAGCAACGCCGCGUGAGUGAAGAAGGUUUUCGGAUCGUAAAGCUCUGUUGUAAGAGAAGAACGAGUGUGAGAGUGGAAAGUUCACACUGUGACGGUAUCUUACCAGAAAGGGACGGCUAACUACGUG